UCGUAAUCGUGAUUAAAAUUCGAUUAAUUGAGCAGCCCUACCCGAAGCCCCAACCAGGUCAUGACCACAGCCCCUGGAUUGAGCCCUCCAGGAAAAACAUCCCUAGGGAAUCCCCAGACACCUCAAGCUGGUACCUGCCCCCAAAACAACCACAAUAGCGAAGGCGGGACAAAACUAUGACUCCCCACCCCCACUAGGUGAUGGAGCUGAUCAAAGGAGCCCAGAGGGAUUGAUCUAAUGUGGUGGCAGAGGCUGUAUCAAGAUAAAUAUGAUCUAUCAGAUGGUCUCCAUAUUGGUUAGAAUUUAUAUUAUUUUUAAAGUUCAUGAGGACCAUUUUCUUGGCAAUAAAAACCGUGUGGUCUGUAUUCAUCUCUGUAGUGACAUCAUCAGACACAAGCACCCUAGUUAUGCCAAACACAUCAAAAGAUCUGCUAUGCCAAGAUGACAUCCCCACAGCAAAUGAACAAUCAGAUUCAACAAAUUCCAUCUACAACUUGACCGAGGAAAAGCCAGAAGAUAAAACCGAGCUUUGCAAGACUAAAUCUGAAAAACUGACUUUGCCACAAAAAUGGCAAUCAUUUUUCCACUCAAACCACAAACUAAAAUUUCAAAAGCUAAGCUAACACAAACCUGAAAACACACAAAAUGGCUCCUGAUGUUGUGCAUGUAUUUUCCCUCCCUGGAGCAUAAAAUCCUGUUACAGAAAUCGAGAAAUAAGGGAAAUUUUAAGCACCAUGCAGUUUUGCAUGGUGGAAUGGGACCAAUGACAGUGAACAGAAGACCCAAGACUAAAGCAGUAGAGGGAAGUUUGUUUAUUGCUUUUACUGUCAAGGGAUGUAUGUUCGGAAGGACCUUUGGAGACAUGUCCGCAGAUGUAUUAACAAACCAAAAGAUGACACGGAAAAGGCCCCACAAAGUAAGAAUAUAUUCGACAGAAGCUUAGUGAAGUGGGAUAUUUGUUGUGUCUGCGUGCAGAAUUCUUAGUGCAUAACAUGGAGAAAGCCAUUACGUCUGCUAACUUCCAGAGAGUUGUGCAAGCGGUAAAGAAAGCUUCAGGUUUCGUUGAAGAGACACUGUCAUUCACAAGCCUCGCACAAAAACUGGGACAUACACUACACAAAAUCUCUGACAUUAUCCAUUGUCGAGCCCUCAUGGCAGAGGAUUAAGCCCUAAUCAAGUCCAUUGACACGUUCAAGAAGUUGUAAGCCUCAAAUUGUCUCGCUGUGCCUUGAACACAUCGAGUGAGACAAAGUAUAAACAUUGCCCUUCACAGAAGAUGUUCAGAUUCUCCCUCACUACUUUCAAAAAUCUGCAGCAAAUGCCUUUUGUUACUUGGAGAACGAAGCCACAGCUUUUUCUUUUUCAUUAGCAUUCAAGUCUCUGAAUGAAUACAGAAUAAAGAUCUUUCCAUUUACAUAGUGCUCGAAGCAAAAGAGUAAAACAAGACCAAAAAAAACCCCCCUUCCACCUUAGAAGUACAUUAAAUUUCAUAACGAUAAUCCAAGCAGCACAGCUGGCCAAGAUUUCCAAACUUCUUUUAUCAAUGGAGAAAAGACUUUCCAUGAUCCAGGGAAAAUCACUGGAUGAGAUUGAAAUUCAAGGUUUGUAUUGAAAGGAGCAAAUAUUAGGGCUAGGCAGGAGUUGAACAUUAUCCUUAAUCAACAGAAUUAAAACCUUAAAACACGGACAAUUAACAGAAUUGUCCAUGUUUUAAGGUUCUUGAAGUCUUUUCUUUCAUCACUUUGCAACUUAGCAGAGUGGUGGCCCAUGUACACCUAUGUACCGUGAUAAAAGUGUUAUUUCCAGUAUUAACUUUCUUCUGUAUUUUAUCAUGUGAGAGUGGGACUGAAUCCGAUGAUGAUGGUACAGAACUCGCAACGUCGGCAUGUGGUACACGUGAGCCUGUGCAUGCAGUCGCCGAGUCCACAAACGCAGAGCAGGUCCAAGACACUGGAGAUUGUGCAAAUGAAGUGCUACUAUGGAUGCCUACAGCAAUGAAACUGCCGCUCCCUCUGAAGAUAAAAAUGCUGCUCAAGCCCGUAAUUCAAGAAGAGCUCCCAUAAAAAAGGUGGUCCAAGGCUGAGGUUGCUGCAGUGAUGAAGCAUUUUAAUGACCACAUAAACAAAGGGAAACUGGCCACCAGAAAUGAAUGCAGUCAUUGGAAACUGGCAGAGGAACCAGUGUUGGCAGGAAGAACAGUUCAGAACAUAAAAGAUUUGAUAAACUCGAGAAGCAACCCCAGAUCGGAUCAAAAGUAAAAUUGUUUUUUGGACGGUUGGGUGGAUACAUCAUUUCCAUAACUGGCCACCGAAAGGGUGUGGCCAUCAACAUGAGUAUUGAGGAAUAGAAUAUUUAGAUGUACAAUGAGAUAGAGAGAAAAUGAAGUAUUGCACAGUGGUAUUUUAUAGAGGGAAAGCCCUUGGAAUGGGGGGGCUGUGUUAUCAGUGAAUCAGAGGGGGUUUAAACGGUAGAAAAAAACUAAGCAUGGUGCCCACAUCAUCCGUAAGUACGAAAACUAUAAGAGUUAUAGUUACCUAAGAGGCAUAUACAUUGUUUAGUCAGCUGAUCAGAGAGAAUGAACAUGUCUUUUGAUUUAUUAGGUUGAACAGCACAAGACUCAAAAGUACCAUGGGCAAGCAGCGGUCCCUCUAUAGGAACGAGCACGCCUGGUUGCAGCGUUACAGCUAUUAGAGAAAAUAUUGAAGGCAGUUCGGAGGCAUCUACUUUUUCCCCACAGUUCCAAUGGAGGUGUUCAUCAUAAGCUACCGGAAAUUUCAAGGCAGCCUGGGAGAAGAUGAAUAUGGGGACUGCACCCACAUUCAACAUGCUAUAUUUCUCCAGUAGCACUUAUCUUAAGGACCCUGCAGAGGACACCCUCCAGAGCUGAGCACUGACAACGAAUGCAUUUUCAACAUAUGCAGCAAAGAAAGUGAAAAGGAGAGAGGACAGAGAAUCUAUGCAGGACAAAGACAAUCAAGGAUCUGACCAGGAAGAGCAGGAGUCAUCAGGACCAGAGAAGCUUCUAGAAAGAUGGCUCUCCCAGUGUCUGAAUAACAAGAUGGGGAGCCUCCCUCAGGAUGAAGGUGCUGGUGGUGCCAGAACCACAACCACAGGAAGACAAUUCGGAAGAGGACAAAGGACAAGUACGGAUAAGGGUUCCUAAGACAGCCACGAAAAAAACCCUGGGCGUCCUGUGUGUCAUAUACUGGGUUAUGUUAGUGCUUGUGUUGAGCUGUGGGCAUUGCAGCUUUAUGCCAUCUUUGCAGCUCCUAGCUGUUGCAUGCAUUGUUGUGCCGUUAUAACUGAUACCACAGGCGCCUGUAACUUUUACCAAAUGCUUUUACCUGCAGGUAGGGGGCUGAAGUCCAUUCCCGGCAGUUUGAUUUGUAUUUAAACCAUAAAUACCAACAUGAAGCUGCAUUUAGGUUUUGUUUUUUGUUUUUUUUAUAAAAUGUACAGGACAAGCCAAUAUUGAUGAUUACCAGUCCAAUACCAAAUUCCAACCGUGACUGAAGUUAGUCAGUCACUCUCAAGACACACGUAAGAACAAUUCCUUACAAAUGUCAACAAAUGUGUAAAUCCCGUUAUUAAAUUAUCUUUUACAAUAA